rnacentral:rRNA from 1 species
UACGUAGGGGGCUAGCGUUGUCCGGAUUUAUUGGGCGUAAAGCGCUCGCAGGUGGUCCGAUGCGUCGUGCGUGAAAGACCCCGGCUCAACUGGGGGGUGUCGUGCGAUACGGGCGGACUGGAGGCCAGUAGGGGGAUGCGGAAUUCCGGGUGUAGUGGUGGAAUGCGUAGAGAUCCGGAGGAACACCAGCGGCGAAGGCGGCAUCCUGGACUGGUCCUGACACUCAUGAGCGAAAGCGUGGGGAGCGAUCCGG